UGGGGAAUCUUGGACAAUGGGGGCAACCCUGAUCCAGCGAUGCCGCGUGAGUGAAGAAGGCCCUCGGGUCGUAAAGCUCUUUAGGCUGGGAAGAAGGUUGGUGGAGGAAAUGCCAUCAAUUUGACGGUACCAGCAGAAUAAGCACCGGCAAACUCUGUGCCAGCAGCCGCGGUAAUACAGAGGGUGCGAGCGUUAAUCGGAGUAACUGGGCGUAAAGGGCGCGUAGGCGGUUUAGUGAGUGUGGUGUGAAAGCCCCGGGCUUAACCUGGGAAGUGCAUCGCAAACGACUAGACUAGAGUAGAUGAGAGGGUGAUGGAAUUUCCGGUGUAGCGGUGAAAUGCGUAGAGAUCGGAAGGAACGUCGAUGGCGAAGGCAGUCACCUGGCAUCAUACUGACGCUGAGGCGCGAAAGCGUGGGUAGCAAACAGGAUUAGAUACCCGCGUAGUCC
rnacentral:rRNA from 1 species